AUGGAGAAAAUCCAUUCACAAUUUCGUCCCAGAUGUACGAGAAAGAUUAGAGAGAAGAGGAGGCAGCCUAGCAGGGGUGGAGCCGUGGAGGUCGCUGAUGCAGUCACCGAUCUGUGGGCAUCGUCCCAUCACCAAGCUGCGAUCGUCACCAUCACCGAACAGAUUACCAGCAAUCGAUCUACCCCUCCCGAGCCCAUCGGCGCCGAAUUCGCUUCUCUUGAUCUUGUUGCAGUUGUCACCGUUGCAAUCGUCGCCGUCGUUGGUGCUAUCGUCACGUGCAGCACAGGUAGGGAGGCUGGAGGGAGUAGGGAGGGUCCAGGGUGAGAGGAACUUA
rnacentral:lncRNA from 1 species